rnacentral:rRNA from 1 species
UACGUAGGGUGCAAGCGUUGUCCGGAAUUAUUGGGCGUAAAGAGCUCGUAGGCGGUCUGUUGCGUCGGCUGUGAAAACCCGGAGCUCAACCCCGGGCCUGCAGCCGAUACGGGCAGACUAGAGUUCGGCAGGGGAGACUGGAAUUCCUGGUGUAGCGGUGAAAUGCGCAGAUAUCAGGAGGAACACCGAUGGCGAAGGCAGGUCUCUGGGCCGAUACUGACGCUGAGGAGCGAAAGCGUGGGUAGCAAACAGG